UACGUAUGGAGCAAGCGUUAUCCGGAUUUACUGGGUGUAAAGGGAGCGCAGGCGGCUUUGCAAGUCUGAUGUGAAAGCCCGCGGCCCAACCGCGGGACUGCAUUGGGAACUACCGGGCUGGAGUGCCGGAGAGGUAGGCGGAAUUCCUAGUGUAGCGGUGAAAUGCGUAGAUAUUAGGAGGAACACCAGUGGCGAAGGCGGCCUGCUGGACGGUAACUGACGCUGAGGCUCGAAAGCGUGGGGAGCAAACAGG
rnacentral:rRNA from 1 species